rnacentral:rRNA from 1 species
UCCGGUUGAUCCCUGCCGGAGGCCACUGCUAUGGGGGUCCGACUAAGCCAUGCGAGUCAUGGGGCGCGCUCUGCGCGCACCGGCGGACGGCUCAGUAACACGUCGGUAACCUACCCUCGGGAGGGGGAUAACCCCGGGAAACUGGGGCUAAUCCCCCAUAGGCCUGAGGUACUGGAAGGUCCUCAGGCCGAAAGGGGCAUCUGCCCGCCCGAGGAUGGGCCGGCGGCCGAUUAGGUAGUUGGUGGGGUAACGGCCCACCAAGCCGAAGGUCGGUACGGGCCAUGAGAGUGGGAGCCCGGAGAUGGACACUGAGACACGGGUCCAGGCCCUACGGGGCGCAGCAGGCGCGAAACCUCCGCAAUGCGGGCAACCGCGACGGGGGGACCCCCAGUGCCGUGGCAUAGCCACGGCUUUUCCGGAGUGUAAAAAGCUCCGGGAAUAAGGGCUGGGCAAGGCCGGUGGCAGCCGCCGCGGUAAUACCGGCGGCCCGAGUGGUGGCCGCUAUUAUUGGGCCUAAAGCGUCCGUAGCCGGGCCCGUAAGUCCCUGGCGAAAUCCCACGGCUCAACCGUGGGGCUUGCUGGGGAUACUGCGGGCCUUGGGACCGGGAGAGGCCGGGGGUACCCCUGGGGUAGGGGUGAAAUCCUAUAAUCCCAGGGGGACCGCCAGUGGCGAAGGCGCCCGGCUGGAACGGGUCCGACGGUGAGGGACGAAGGCCAGGGGAGCGAACCGGAUUAGAUACCCGGGUAGUCCUGGCUGUAAAGGAUGCGGGCUAGGUGUCGGGCGAGCUUCGAGCUCGCCCGGUGCCGGAGGGAAGCCGUUAAGCCCGCCGCCUGGGGAGUACGGCCGCAAGGCUGAAACUUAAAGGAAUUGGCGGGGGAGCACUACAAGGGGUGGAGCGUGCGGUUUAAUUGGAUUCAACGCCGGGAACCUCACCGGGGGCGACGGCAGGAUGAAGGCCAGGCUGAAGGUCUUGCCGGACACGCCGAGAGGAGGUGCAUGGCCGCCGUCAGCUCGUACCGUGAGGCGUCCACUUAAGUGUGGUAACGAGCGAGACCCGCGCCCCCAGUUGCCAGUCCUCCCCGCUGGGGAGGAGGCACUCUGGGGGGAC